AUCUACUGGAGAAUAUUAUGUUUCUUGCCUGCCUUGCUGACAUGAAUUUUAAGAUUAUACACUUGGGAUACACGAGCCCUUCCUGGACACAAGUGCUGCAUUCAUCACUCAGAAGAACUUUGCAGUCUAGGAAGAGCCACCACCUUGUGCCUCCAGCUAAAGGAAGAGAAGAACACUGAGGACCUGGGCGAGAGCUGGGCCACAAGAUGGAGAAGGCCCUGUGGCCUGAGUCUUUGUAUAGAUCAGAAUCAUCACAUCGACCUGCACUGGACUUCAUGUGAGUAUGAAAUAAACCUAUUGUGCAGACAGAUGCUUGGCUCGAUGCCUCUUCUCCUC